AACGAACGCUGGCGGCAUGCCUAACACAUGCAAGUCGAACGAGACCUUCGGGUCUAGUGGCGCCCGGGUGCGUCACGCGUGGGAACCUGCCCUUAGGUUCGGCAUAACUCCCCGACAGGGGUGCUAAUACCGGAUAAUGUCUUCGGACCAAAGAUUUAUCGCCUUUGGAUGGGCCCGAGUUGGAUUAGCUAGUUGGUAGGGUAAAAGCCUACCACGGCGACGAUCCAUAGCUUGGCUGAGAGGAUGAUCAGCCACACUGGGACUGAGACACGGCCCAGACUCUUACGGGAGGCAGGAGUGGGGAAUAUUGGACAAUGGGCGGAAGCCUGAUCCAGCAAUGCCGCGUGAGUGAUGAAGGCCUUAGGGUUGUAAAGCGCUUUUACCCGGGAUGAUAAUGACAGUACCGGGAGAAUAAGCUCCGGCUAACUCCGUG
rnacentral:rRNA from 1 species